UGGCAGUUUGGCCACUUUCAUACCUGAAAGGAAGAAUGCCCAUCAUAGCGUUCACCAAAGUCUAGACUCACACGACAACGUUGAAGUAGAGGCGGACAUCUUUGCAUCGGCCUACUUAUCUGCGCAGUCAAAAGACUUUCCAGCUGGGAUUUGCAACAAAAUCAGUUAAUUGAUUCAAGCUCUGGAUGCCCCGGUGGACCUGAAAAUGAAGCUAAUCCCUAUUCUGCAGCACAUGCACCACAAUGCCAGCCUGGCCUCUAGCAGCCUGGUCUCUAGCAGCCUGGCCUCUAGCAGCCUGGCCUCUAGCAGCCUGGCCUCUAGCAGCC